GCUGUAGUUAUGUGUCUUUGAAUGGAUUCUUUGCGUGAUGAAAAAUCUACUCUUUCAGAAAUAGCAAGGUGAACUGUGAAUGACAGUGUAACAAGAAAAGGACUGAAGUCCAUUGCCAUUACAAAUAUAAAUGUCUUGCAUCCCCAGUCCGAAGAAGCAGACUCCUGCCAUCAAGUGGGUGGGAAAAUAUUUCAUUUUUCCAAAGAGAAAGUGAUUCUGAAAAAUUGCUUCCUUAUUAGUUUCUUAAGCCAACGCUGGAUCUUUAGUGCUAUGCAUUGAACAAAAUAUCUGCUCUCUAGGGACUUUGACAUCCUUGCAUAUAAUGUAAUGUGCUAUGAAGAGAGGACAUCCAGACCAACGUCAUGAUCUCAUGAUACUUCACCGGGAAAUGGAGAGUCUGCUCUGGAGCUUUGUUACAGAGGUUGCUUAGGAAAAGCUGGCAGAUUUAGUAGACCACAGAUUUCUCACCCUACCUACUUGGAUCUGUGGCUGCUUUUAGAGAUUUAAUUUCUUCGGAGGGAACAGACCUUCACACAGAAGCUGCUAAAUGGAGCAUUUGUAUCGUUGUUUCUAUUAGACGUUUGAAGCUAAAGGAAAACAGUAUACAGACAAGAGCAAAACACUGAGUCUCUGAGGAUGUCUUCAGUUACUUCUUAGCUUUUAUUAAUUCUGAAAACGGGGCUAUGCAGUCCUGUUAACAUAACUUUUGGUUAAAAUUUAUCCUGUAUGUAGGACCAGUCAUACUCCAGGUAUUCUGAAAAAAUGAAGAAUAAGAAAAAAACUAGGAAACAAGCUUCUGCCAUUUCCAGUACAAGAGUGCACUCUCCAACAAUCUUGGGACUGCCCCCUCUGCUUCCAUUUGUCCCACGGCAACAACAUGUAAAGGAAUAUUGGUGAGAAUCUCUACUGCCAUACCCCAACAUCUGCUUCUGACACUGUGGGCCAACAUCAUAAAAUAGAAGAAAAAAAAAAAUAACACAAGUGAAGAGAGAACACAUGGAACAUCUUGAAAACGACCUGGAGUUCUGUGUCCAGAUGUGUCCUUGGUACAGAAGAGACACAGACCGUUUGGAGUGCAUGCAGAGGAGGGCCACAAAAAUGAUCCAAAGGAUGGAACAGUUCUCCUAUGAGGACAAGCUGAGAAAGCUGGAGCUGUUCAGCCUGGAGAAGAGAAGGGUCCAAUGUGUCCUAAUAGCGUCCUUUCAGUAUGCUACAGGGGACCUACAGGAAAGAAGGGGACAGACUCUUCAGCAGUAUCUGUGGUGGUAGGACAAAGGGAAAUGGUUUCAAGCUCAAAGAGGAUAGAUUUAGGUUGGAUGUACGGAAAAACUCUUUUAUAGUGGGGGUGAUGAGGCACUGGAACAGGUAGGUUGCUAUUAUCUCACAAGCCGUAUCUUCCACCUGUAAACACUCUUGGUCUUUCAAAUGUAAAACUGUCCACUAAGUGAUGUUGAUUGCCACUUGGUGACACCCAUCACUCACCUCAUAAUCAGUCUUAUUGCAAGAAAUCUCAAAAAGCAAGCUUGGAGCCAAGAAAAAAGAAGGGUAUAGACAGGAAGCUAGGUUCCUAGUAUUUUAAGGACAUAAAGUGAGGUGACAUUAAUUUUGAUCUUCUCCUCUACAUGAUGCAGAUUUUUUAAAAUAUCUGCUAAAGAGAGAAAUGUUUAUCUUUCCACAUGACAAAGUGAUUUUAAUUCAUCAAUUAUGCUCACACAGUUCAAGCUUCAAAAUGCUCAUAAUUACAAAGGGACCAAAACAUAGUAUAUUUAAUGUGCAGAUUUGGGAAUAUUAUUAAUUAAAAAUCCCUACUGCACAUGGCAAGCAAAUACAUUUAGGGAGUCAGAUAAGAAUUAAAACCAUUGGAAACUGCCAGUGGAAAUCAAUAAAGCAUAUGCAAUAUGUAUUUUUCAAUAUUCAAUCACUUUCAAAUCCUUAAUGAGGUGGUUUGCUUCUCAGUUGCUUUACACAUAAAUGUAUCAAAACCUAAACCCUUAAUUGCUCCUUAAAUUAUAUAAAAGCUUUGUAUUUACGAAACAGAAGAUGACAAGAUACCUUGUGGAAAAAUCUGGACACUCUUUGUUUAAUGAAGACUUUGAAGAAAAUCACCACAUCAAUAAGACAAGAAGAGCACUGAGACAUCUUGGAAACAACAGGAGGACAGGACUGACAUCAGAUAACAAAUAAAUUCACAAGUAAAUAACAAA